UACGUAGGUGGCAAGCGUUGUCCGGAAUUAUUGGGCGUAAAGCGCGCGUAGGCGGCUUUGCAAGUCGGUUGUGAAAUCACCAGGCUUAACCUGGGAACUGCAUCCGAGACUGCAUUGCUAGAGUAUGGGAGAGGGAAGUGGAAUUUCCGGUGUAGCGGUGAAAUGCGUAGAUAGCGGAAGGAACAUCAGUGGCGAAAGCGACUUCUUGGACCAAUACUGACGCUCAUGUGCGAAAGCGUGGGGAGCAAACAGG
rnacentral:misc_RNA from 1 species